ACCUGAGUGGCUUAGUCGGUUGAGCGGCUGACUUCAGCUCAGGUCAUGAUCUCACUGUUCGUGAGUUCAAGCCCCGUGUCAGGUU
rnacentral:tRNA from 1 species